rnacentral:lncRNA from 10 species
AAUGGUUCCGGCUUCUGUCCAUUCAGUAUGAUGUUGGCUGUUUGCUUUUUAUAAAUGGCUCUUAUAAUUCUGAGGUACUAUAUAUCUCAUGUAAUUUCUGGGGAGAACUGAAAUCUGAAACCAAGGGAAGGCACAGACAGGGGAAACUUCUAGAAGAAACUUUGGAAACCAGAGACUGGAGGGAAGAGCUAAAAGAGUAAGUGAUUUAACCUAUAUAUAAAAUUCUGAGCUGUAUGUAAUGUUCCUUUUUAGCCAGUGGACAGGCAUAAAAGAAGAAAAAACAAGGCUGGGUCAAAAAAGAAAUUUUUGGAAGUUUCCGUAUCCUACACUAGUC